UACGAAGGGUGCAAACGUUGCUCGGAAUUAUUGGGCGUAAAGCGCACGUAGGCGGCUUUGCAAGUCGGAUGUGAAAUCCCUCGGCUUAACCAAGGAAGUGCAUCCGAAACUGCAGAGCUUGAGUACUUAAGAGGAUCGCGGAAUUCCCGGUGUAGAGGUGAAAUGCGCAGAUAUCAGGAAGAACACCCGUGGCUAAGGCGGCUCUCUAGUACGGUACUGACGCUGAGACGCGAAAGCGUGGGGAGCGAACAGG
rnacentral:rRNA from 1 species